CUAAGCAUAUCAAUAAGCGGAGGAAAAGAAACCAACAGGGAUUGCCCCCAGUAACGGCGAGUGAAGCGGCAACAGCUCAAAUUUGAAAUCUGGCCCCUCUCGGGGCCCGAGUUGUAAUUUGUAGAGGAUGCUUUUGGUGCGGCGCCAGCUGAGUUCCCUGGAACGGGACGCCAUAGAGGGUGAGAGCCCCGUCACGCUGGACGCCAAGCCUAUGUAAAGCUCCUUCGACGAGUCGAGUAGUUUGGGAAUGCUGCUCAAAUUGGGAGGUAUAUGUCUUCUAAAGCUAAAUACCGGCCAGAGACCGAUAGCGCACAAGUAGAGUGAUCGAAAGAUGAAAAGCACUUUGAAAAGAGAGUUAAACAGUACGUGAAAUUGUUGAAAGGGAAGCGCUCAUGACCAGACUUGGGCUUGGCGAAUCACCCGGCGUUCUCGCCGGUGCACUUCGCCUCGCCCAGGCCAGCAUCAGUUCGUCGCGGGGGACAAAAGCGCCGGGAACGUGGCUCCCCCGGGAGUGUUAUAGCCCGGCGCACAAUACCCUGCGGUGGACUGAGGUUCGCGCAUCUGCAAGGAUGCUGGCGUAAUGGUCAUCAGCGACCCGUCUUGAAACACGGACCAAGGAGUCGUCUUCGUAUGCGAGUGUUCGGGUGUCAAACCCCUACGCGUAAUGAAAGUGAACGCAGGUGAGAGCUUCGGCGCAUCAUCGACCGAUCCUGAUGUUCUCGGAUGGAUUUGAGUAAGAGCAUACGGGGCCGGACCCGAAAGAAGGUGAACUAUGCCUGUAUAGGGUGAAGCCAGAGGAAACUCUGGUGGAGGCUCGCAGCGGUUCUGACGUGCAAAUCGAUCGUCAAAUAUGGGCAUGGGGCGAAAGACUAAUCG
rnacentral:rRNA from 1 species